rnacentral:rRNA from 1 species
CGGAGGUGGCAAGCGUUGUUCGGAAUUACUGGGCGUAAAGGGCGCGUAGGCGGCAAGGCAAGUCAGGUGUGAAAGCCCCGGGCUUAACUCGGGAAUUGCAUCUGAAACUGCUGUGCUUGAGUUCUGGAGGGGGUAGUGGAAUUCCCAGUGUAGCGGUGAAAUGCGUAGAUAUUGGGAGGAACACCUGCGGCGAAGGCGGCUACCUGGACAGAAACUGACGCUGAGGCGCGAAAGCUAGGGGAGCGAACGGGAUUAGAUACCCCGGUAGUCCUAGCUGUAAACGAUGGGCACUUGGUGUUGGGGGUAUUGAGUCCCCCAGUGCCGGAGUUAACACGUUAAGUGCCCGGCCUGGGGAGUACGGUCGCAAGACUG